rnacentral:rRNA from 1 species
UACGUAGGGUGCAAGCGUUGAUCGGAAUUACUGGGCGUAAAGCGUGCGCAGGCGGUUUUGUAAGUUUGUCGUGAAAGCCCCGGGCUCAACCUGGGAAUUGCGAUGAAGACUGCAAGGCUUGAAUCUGGCAGAGGGGGGUAGAAUUCCACGUGUAGCAGUGAAAUGCGUAGAGAUGUGGAGGAACACCGAUGGCGAAGGCAGCCCCCUGGGUCAAGAUUGACGCUCAUGCACGAAAGCGUGGGGAGCAAGCAGG